AGGGUUCGAUUAUGGCUCAGGAUGAACGCUAGCGGCAGGCUUAACACAUGCAAGUCGAGGGGUAACAUUGUAGCUUGCUACAGAUGACGACCGGCGCACGGGUGCGUAACGCGUAUACAAUCUACCUUAUACAGAGGGAUAGGCCAAAGAAAUUUGGAUUAAUACCUUAUAGUAUUUUUCUAACACAUGUUAGAAUUCUUAAAGCUCCGGCGGUAUAAGAUGAGUAUGCGUGAUAUUAGCUAGUUGGUGAGGUAACUGCUCACCAAGGCAACGAUAUCUAGGGGGUCUGAGAGGACUAUCCCCCACACUGGUACUGAGACACGGACCAGACUCCUACGGGAGGCAGCAGUGAGGAAUAUUGGGCAAUGGAGGCAACUCUGACCCAGCCAUGCCGCGUGAAGGAAGAAGGUUCUAUGGAUUGUAAACUUCUUUUAUUUGGGAAGAAACCUUUCUACGUGUAGAGAGCUGACGGUACCAAACGAAUAAGGACCGGCUAACUCCGUGCCAGCC
rnacentral:rRNA from 1 species